CCCCUCUCAGGGUGGCACCUGGAGAGUUUCCAGUACUCUACCAGUCUUGGCUACAGGAGGGAAAGUCAAGCAGAGACAUACCACUCCAUUCCUAGCUUGGCCAGUGGCUUGGGAGUGGAAGGCAACCUGCUACAAGU